AGUGAACGCUGGCGGCAGGCUUAACACAUGCAAGUCGAACGGGCGUAGCAAUACGUCAGUGGCAGACGGGUGAGUAACACGUGGGAAUAUCCCUUUCAGCUCGGAAUAACUCAGGGAAACUUGAGCUAAUACCGAAUACGUCCUUCGGGAGAAAGAUUUAUCACUGAGAGAUUAGCCCGCGUCUGAUUAGCUAGUUGGUGAGGUAAUGGCUCACCAAGGCGACGAUCAGUAGCUGGUCUGAGAGGAUGAUCAGCCACACUGGGACUGAGACACGGCCCAGACUCCUACGGGAGGCAGCAGUGGGGAAUAUUGGACAAUGGGGGCAACCCUGAUCCAGCCAUGCCGCGUGAGUGAUGAAGGCCUUAGGGUUGUAAAGCUCUUUUGCUAGGGAAGAUAAUGACUGUACCUAGAGAAUAAGCCCCGGCUAACUUCGUGCCAGCAGCCGCCGUAA
rnacentral:rRNA from 1 species